GGCAUUUUAUUUUAUUAGAGGAACUUGUUCUUUAAUCGAUACUCCACGAUAACUUUCACUUUUCUUCAAAGUUUAUAUACCGCCAUCUCAAGAAUUAUUUUUUAUAAAUUACCUCAAAAACAAAUAAAAAGUUAGGUCAAGGUGUAGCUAAAAUUAAAGCAGAAAUGAGUUACUUUAAAAACUAUUUAAGGAUUAAAAUUUCAAAAUUUAUCAGAAAAAGGAUUUAUCAGUAAUAUCUAAAUAAUAAUUCUAUUUGAAAUUUCCAAUAAAUGUGCACACAUCGCCCGUCGCUCUU
rnacentral:rRNA from 1 species